CAUUACAGAAAGAAACAGGGUUUUGAGACUGCGUCCAAAGUGGNGNNNGCUCGGCCCUUAUCCUUCAUCCACACACACCUCUGUGCACUAUGGGACGAAAGUCCCCUUUUUCUACAUAAACACCUAGUUAUAUGCAUGUUUUUAUGUACUCUACGGAGUAAUAAUGUACAACUUUCAACAACGGAUCUCUUGGCUUUCGCAUCGAUGAAGAACGCAGCGAACGUGCGAAACGUAAUGUGAAUUGCAGAAUUCAGUGAAUCAUCGAAUCUUUGAACGCAUCUUGCGCUCCUUGGCAUUCCGAGGAGCAUGCCUGUUUGAGUGUCGUGAAGUAAUGUCAGUUUCAAUCUUUUUGUUUGAAAUUGGAUGUGGAUGUUGUUGUGUUUUCACAGCUCAUCCUAAAUGCAUUAGCGAUCUGCCUUUGAUCACAAGCAAUGUGAUAAGAAAAAGCAUUGUUAUGAAUCAAGUCGGGGUUGCUUCUAACUGUCGUAAGACAAAUUUCUAUGUCAUUUGACCUCAAAUCAGGUAGGACUACCCGCUGAACUUAAGCAUAUCAAUA
rnacentral:rRNA from 1 species